CCUACGGGGGGCAGCAGUGGGGAAUAUUGCACAAUGGGGGAAACCCUGAUGCAGCGACGCCGCGUGAGUGAAGAAGUAAUUCGUUACGUAAAGCUCUAUCAGCAGGGAAGAACACUGACCUUACGGUCAGCAGACGGUACCUGAGUAAGAAGCCCCGGCUAACUACGUGCCAGCAGCCGCGGUAAUACGUAGGGGGCAAGCGUUAUCCGGAUUUACUGGGUGUAAAGGGAGCGUAGACGGCCAGACAAGUCAGAAGUGAAAGCCCAGGGCUCAACCCUGGGACUGCUUUUGAAACUGCCGGGCUGGAGUGCAGGAGAGGUAAGCGGAAUUCCUAGUGUAGCGGUGAAAUGCGUAGAUAUUAGGAGGAACACCAGUGGCGAAGGCGGCUUACUGGACUGUAACUGACGUUGAGGCUCGAAAGCGUGGGGAGCAAACAGGAUUAGAUACCCUAGUAGUC
rnacentral:rRNA from 1 species